AUCCUUUUGUAGUUCAUAAACGUGAUGACUGGGUUUUCACACUCAUGUGUGAGCUGCACCUCCCUCAAACCUUGUUUUGACAUUGACACAUUAUCUGCCGGAUG
ensembl:snoRNA